GAACGCUGGCGGCAUGCCUAACACAUGCAAGUCGAACGGGACUAGAGUAGCAAUACUUUAGUUUAGUGGCGGACGGGUGAGUAACACGUAGGAAUCUGCCCUAAAGUGGGGGACAACCCAGGGAAACCUGGGCUAAUACCGCAUAUGCCCUACGGGGUAAAGGAGGCGCAAGCUUUCGCUUUAGGAUGAGCCUGCGGCGGAUUAGCUAGUUGGUAGGGUAAAGGCCUACCAAGGCAACGAUCUGUAGCUGGUCUGAGAGGACGAUCAGCCACACUGGGACUGAGACACGGCCCAGACUCCUACGGGAGGCAGCAGUGGGGAAUAUUGGACAAUGGGGGAAACCCUGAUCCAGCAAUGCCGCGUGUGUGAAGAAGGC
rnacentral:rRNA from 1 species